UUUUUUUUUUUUUUUUUUGGUUCUUUUUUUUGGAGCUGGGGACCGAACCCAGGGCCUUGCGCUUCCUAGGUAAGCGCUCUACCACUGAGCUAAAUCCCCAGCCCCUCUUUUUUUUUUUUAAAUAAGCUGCCUUGGUCAUGGUGUUUCACAGCAACAGAACAGUAACAAAGACAGUGUUCUCGUGUAUAUGCAAUAUUUUAAAAGUUUAUGUGUAUGAGUGUUUUGUCUGGGUGUCUAUUUCCCUGUCACAUUCGAGCGUGGCUCCAAAGGAGGCCAGACAAAAGUGACAGAUCGCUGGUUGUAGCCUCUCUGUGGAUGCUGGACCCAGUAAUGUCCUCCGAAAGGCUCUUGACUGCUGCGCCACCUCUCCAGCCCCCAUUUCAUAAAUCUAUUUUACAUCAAUCCACCUGUUUCUGUCAAUUUUCCACAAUUAAAAACUUUUGCUGAGCGCAAGGCCCUGGGUUCGGGCCCCAGCUCCGAAAAAAAGAAAAAAAAAAAACGUUUGCUGGACAUAGAGGGGUAUGUCUUUAAUCCAACAGCUUGGGAGGCAGAGGGAAGAGGAUCUCUUAAGUUUGAUGCUUGCAGGGGCUGGAGAGAUGGCUCAGAAGUUAAGAGCACUGAUUGCUCAUAUAAGUAAAAUAAAUCUUUUUUAAAAAAAAAAAGUUUGAAGCUAGCUUGUUCUACAAAUUGAAUCCUGGAUAGCCAGGGCUAUGCAGAGAAACCCUGUCUUGAAGAAAAACUAAAACUGGACUGGAGAGAUGGCUCAGUGGCUAAGAACAUUGACUGUUCUUCCAGAGAUCCUGAGUUCAAAUCCCAGCAACCACAUGGUGGCUCACAACCAUCUGUAACGAGAUCUGAUGUCCUCUUAAGACAGCUACAGUGUUCUUAUCUAUAAAUAAAUACAUGAUUUUUUUAAAAAAGAGCAUUUAAGGGGUUGGGGAUUUAGCUCAGUGGUAGAGCGCUUGCCUAGGAAGCACAAGGCCCUGGGUUCCGUCCCCAGCUCCGAAAAAAAGAACCAAAAAAAAAAAAAAAAAAAAGAGCAUUUAAUUUGGCGUUUGCUUACAGUUUCAAAGGGUUAGUCCACGAUCAUCAUGAGGAGAAGUGUGGAGGUAGGCAUGGUGCCGCAGUAGCAGCUCAGUGCUUACAUCUGAUAAGUUAGAGACAGAGAGAGCAAGGUGGCCUGGCAUGAACUUUUGAAAACUCCAAGCCCACCCCCAAUGACACAUCUCCAAGAAGGCUACUCAUUUUAAUCUUAGAGCCAAACAUUGGAAUAUAAUAGCAUAUGGGAGCCAUUCUUAUUCAAGUCACAUUGCUCAGAAAUAAAAAUACAUACCGUAGUUGUGCAAGGUACACACCUUUAAUCCUAAAAUUCAGGAGGCAGAGUAAAGCUGAUCUGUGUGAGUUCAAGGCCAGCCUGGUCCACAGUGAGAUCCUGUGUUUAAAAAGCAGGAGCUGGGGCUAGAAAGAGGGCUCAGAGGUUGAGAGCAGUGGUUGCUUUUCCGGAGGACCUGGGUUUGGUUCUUUGCACACACAUGGCAGCUCACGUGUCUGUAAUUUCAGUCCUAGGGGGUCCUACAUUCUGGGACUGAAGGUAUAUGCCACCACACCCAGUUAAAAUACAUUUUAAAAAUAUUUAGCUGAUCAUGGAAGUAUAGGUUAGCAGGAUUUGCUGAAGAGGCAAAAGCAGGACCUCUGUGAGUUCAAGGCCAGCCCAGUCUACAUAGCAAAUUCCAGGACAGCUAGAAUUACAUAGAGAGAUCCUAAAAAAUUUAAUAAAACAAAAACAAACAAACCACAAAGCCAACAACAAACCGUUGUGACGAGGAAAACAGUUCAAGAACAUUGCAUGCACUACAUUUGUACACUAGAUGGCAGCAAAAUCCAGUCACUUCCUACUCACUUGCCCAGCUACCCUUAUGGUGGUCGCAUUGUGAGCCAGGCAGUUCUCAAGGUUGCCAAAUGACCAGAGACAGGAGCCAAGACCUGAGCUUCAGGGUCAACAAUCCAGGUGACCAGGCGUACUGGAGCACCCACGCAAUGGCACUCAUUUGACCAUGCUGGGCCACAUAAGGAGUGCCUGUCUGGUGAUGUUAGGGCCCUACCUAAAAUAUAAAAUCACAUGUUCCAGGAUUUCUCCCCAAACCCUUCUCAUUUCAUGUCUUAGUAGGACGCUACGUUGCUGGCCCUAUACCAAUCUGCUUUGGGGCCUGUGGCUGGGGCUGUUUGGGGAAAGUUUUGUUUGUGAAGUAUCCUUUGUACAGCUACAGCAAUACGGACAGCACACAAACGUAGAGUCCAACGGCACAGCAUUGGAACUUCCAAAGUUGAGGCCCAAAGACCCAAAUUCAGUCACCCUGGCCACAUAAUGAAAGCUAAAGUGAAGCCUCUAGAUCUAACACUGGGGAAUUCCCAACCCUGCUCCCUUCACUUUGCUCCCAAAUCAGGAAAUGUGAGCCCUAACCUCUGCUCCUAUCUCUUGCUCAAUAAGUCUGAGCCUCACCUCAGCAAAGCCUCAGCUCUGGAAACAAACUUCUCACAUGAGCAAAUUCAGAAUAGGCCCUUACUAAGAUGUGUGUGGCAGGGUCUAGCUCAGCUGUUACCAGGCACAAAUCAGAUUGGCCUGCAGACCUGUGGUGGGCACUUCAGCUGUGAUGUCCUGUACUGUAGGAACACCGAGAUGGAGCUCAGAGGCACUGAGUGGGCUUGUCUGGGGAGAGAACAUUUUGCUCACCUGGGCACUUGGUUUUAGUCUUCAGUAAGCUGAGGCCCUUUGAACUGGGGAAGAUGUCAUUAGAUUCCCAGCCCUGGGAGCUGAAUCUCCAUUAACCCAGGAUAUUUUUGCCCACAAAGGACUGAGAGCAACAGGAAGGGCGGGCCCCUGAAGCUAGGGGCCUGUCCUUUAAUAUCCAGUAAUCUGAAAGACAUGCAGCCUUUCAAGCCUGAGAAACCAAGGUGGGUUUUCUGUUGCUUUGUUUUUUUCAAGAGUGUUUCUGUGUAGACUAGGCUUGAACUCAAGAUGUCUGCUAACUUAAAGGUGUACAGCACCACAUCUAACCAAGUCAGCUUAUCUUUAAGGAAUGGCAAGUCUUCUCCCACAGCCUUAAGAGGCAACACAGAGCCAUGGCUGAGGACUGGUUUGAUCUCUGAUCUCCACACACACUCACACAAGGUAUUGCCUGCACAAGUUCCUCUUCUCCCUGGGAAUGUUUUUGGGCUUUUAGAUCAUGUAUGUACAUCCCUGUAUUCCCCGAAACUACAUGAAAAUUACCAUCCUCCACCUAGUGUUAGGUAGACAGGAACAAAGCACCAACAUCUUGAACAUGGACAAUCCAGAUGUCUUCACUCAGUACAGCCUAAACAGCUAGAAAGGCACCCCAGGAAGAGGCCAAGACCACCCAAGCUAACCUUAGAGAAUCUGCAUGAAAGAACCAUGCAGCCUAAGGAAACAGGGGAAGAAAGCCUCACAAUCCCAAGAUGAGGCAGAUCAGAAACUCAAUCAAUCUAGUAAGGCGUAAGCCUGUGUUUCAUAUACAAAGAACCACGCAGUGAGAGAGCAUUGGUUUUUAUUUCAUAAAAUCCUUAUUGUAGAUGUGUCAACCCAAUACUACACAGAUUGGGCAUAACCUGAAAAAGACAAUAUAGUUAUCAACAGUUACUCAGAGUUCAACACUAAGACUGGGCAGUGUUCUAGUGAUGUCUGCUCCCAUAUUCAGACCCUUUUGAACCCCCUCAAAAAACAGGCCUCCCGGGGCUGGGAAUUUAGCUCAGUGGUAGAGCGCUUGCCUAGGAAGCGCAAGGCCCUGGGUUCGGUCCCCAGCUCCGAAAAAAAGAACCAAAAAAAAAAAAAAAAAAAAAAAAAAACAGGCCUCCUGAUCUUAAGACUCAAGCAAAGACGCCGCAGGGACUUGAACCCCGUCCUGGAAACCAGGAGUGCCAACCACCAGCAUCUUUUGCUUUUUUUUUUAAAAGCUAGGGAAAGGCCAAAAAGCAAAACCUGAGAAAACAAAGUUUGUUUUCUCAGGAAAAGAAAAACCUUUACAACCCUAAUGAAGAAUCUGCUUCCGCUAAGAUGCUAGCUUGGCCAAGUCUGCUAUGUCCACCUGAAAAAGUCUUAGCAGAGAAAUUUUGCAAUCCCACCCCAACAGCUUCCCUACAAAGGCUUGCCUUCAGCUGACCUCAUUCCCACCCAGCAUUUGUAUCAAACAUUGCUAUUACUAUACCCUUGACUGGUUUGUUUAGUCUGAAUAGGUGCUAUGCAUAUAAAACACCUUAGCUACUGAGCUGUGGUCUUGUUAAAUUAACAGGCAAGGGGAAAAAAUGGCCUUCUCUGUCUGGUGCAACCCACGGGACCUUGGCACCAUGGUUACCUUGAAACCGAUUACGCAUCAUGACCUCAAGGAUCCAGCUACUGGCUGCAUCAAGGUGAGGGGUGAAGGGUCUGUGAUUAGGCCAAAGGCACAGGGUGUCGAUGUGGCAGAGAAUCACUUGUGGGGAGACCUUGUAACAGGACUCUGGAAAAGCUAGGGAAAACUGGUUGCCCACUUUCCCUCUUUUCCCUCCCCUUCAAGCACAACUUGAGGUUUGGGCUGCUAACAGCUGCUAUAAAAACAGCUUUUCCAGAUGUUAAAACAAGCCCAGGGCCUCUCAAGUAUUUUCUUUGAAUGUUUCUUUCAACUCCAGCAAGGUGUUGAGGUAGGGUAGUCCUCACUGCUAAUCAAAACCAACCAUGAUACCACUUUGCUUGCUUGACUCUUGCCACAGGAAGGCUCCGCUGUGCUACAUUAAGCCUUCAGUGCCUUUAGUGAGGGGUACCUGGAAAAUCUUAAAAAAAGGCUUAGCGCCCACCUCACCCCUCCACCCCAAGGCCAACAAAACAUUACAUGCUAGCUGCUUCAGCAUGAAGCUGAAGAGAAUUCAACACUAAUUUACCAGUAACUAAUCUUAAACAAGAAAAGGCUUGUUCACCUGUUGUCAUCAUUUGUCCACUGGUGAAUUCAACUGGAAGCUCCUUCUAGUUUGAAGUACAUCUGAAAGAACUAGGGCUUCCCAAUCCCCACAUUGAUAAUGGAAUGUCUGGUUCACUUUUAUCGAUUUAAAGUAAAUAGGCUAUUUUUCCUUACUGGGUCUGGCUUCUCUGGGCCCUCGAAUAGAUGUCUGCUGUUUUCAAUGUUCCUGCAUGUAAGAAUUAAGACCAAGGGAGGGGAGAGAGACACCUACAGAGACAAUGCACUAAAGACCACGGAACUGUUAAGAACAUUUCCACUUGCCAGUUAAAUUUCUUCAAGAAUGUUGCUUGUCUGAAUUUAUUUCUUGUCAGAUUUUAGGUUGAAUCUGGAAGAGACUAAAGGCUUCAGUGCUCCCAACCCCCCCUCACCAGAAAUGAACAAAAACAUUUACCUAAAGCAGCACAGCAAAGGGACUUGGCUUCAAUCACAAACACGUGUUACUUAAAGCUGCAGAGCCAUUUCCUCAACACUCAGCCUGUAUUACUCAUGGGUUCUCCUCCAACAAUCACUACUCCAAACAUUUGGGGAAACACAACUUUAAUCAUACUCCAGUCGUGGCACAAUGCAUUCUAAUAGCAGCAGAUUGGAACAGUACUGCACAUAUUACUUGCCAAAGAACAGACAAGACCUGAAGUCAAGACACCUGCAUUCUGUGUGGUCUGUAAAAAAAAGCUAGAACAAGUAAGCCCCAUCCCCCUCCUCCCUUCCCUCCAAUUCCAGGAAAAACAAACUCACUGCAAGGUCUCACACACUCACUAGCAGAGCAGAAGACAAGAGGCAAGCGCUUAUAUGCAAUCAAAGUCCUGAGCAGCUCCAUGAAGGAUGAAAUGAGGCCUCUGCAAAGGAAAACUCUUUAAAAACCCACAUGCCCCAACUCGUGGCUCAAGUGAGGUGACAAAAGUCUAACGUGGAUGAGAUGGUCUAAGCAUUUAAACUCAACAUGCACAUUUGAUAAUUGGGAAAGUAUCUUACCCUAGAUGUUUAGCCAUGGUCAAAUAAGACCCCUGACUUUCUGGAAACAAAAUAUGUAGUUACCUUUUAUCUGACCAUCAUUUCCAACCUGCCUAAGGUACUUAGUCCUUAAAGGGCCUCUAUGCCAGGCCUGCAAUUAUUAAAUGCUCAUCACUGCAUGGAGAAUAAAAUUUGUCUUUCCUGCCUGAAUGUUAAAUUCGGUCUUCUGCUCAAGUCCUGAUCUUGUCCAUUUAAGUGUUCGAAGCCAAAGUUUCUGCAAAGAUUAGAGAAGAACAUUCCCCCCAAAAUUGCCCAACACUAACUACAGACAACAAACAAAACUUUAUUUAAAUAAGGAGACAGCCUUCUAAAUACAUACAUUCUCUAGUGAAGUAUUUUAUUAAUUUGUAUGAUUUAAUGAUUUUAAGCACAAGUACAUCGAGCACAUUUAAAUUUUAGCAAUAUGAACAUCUGACUUUCAGCACAUUAAAUGUCCCUUUCAUGGGGUCUUCAGGUUCAAUUGGUAAAGAUUCCUUAAUUUUGUAAAAAAUGUAAUUAAAGCAGGCACUAAUCAUGUUUUGAGGCUUUUGCGGUGAAAUUUAGGAUGCAAAAGCCUGUUUACUUACUUACUAUCCCAUCAUGAAAGCCCACUGGCACAAGGCUUAGAAUUCUUAAGAGGCUGGAUGGGAAAACUGCUCACAAUCCUGAGCCCCCUAGGAAGGGGUCAGGUGAGUAACAUUCAAUACCUCCUCUUAACUUAAGACAGCUAUAUUUAUCCCUACCAUGCAAUACUGCAGAUUCAAGUUAAACUUAUCUGUUAACAGCAGUCUGCUGUUUCCUGCUCCGAGAUGAAAUGAAGCAACUCUUCUGCUUAUGAAGAGAAACCUGUCUGAGGCAAACGAAAGAUUGGCAUACUGCACCGCCUCUCAAGCCACUCGAUCCCACUCCUCUCAGUAAGCUCAGCUUCUUUUUACUCCAGGAUUAAUGUAGAAUUUUUACUUCAUUUUAUUCUGCUUUUGUAAAAGCAGUUGAGAUGAACGUUUGAUCUUCACUGGUUUUCAUCAAUUCUUUACUUUUGUGGAUAAAGCUUGGUAAGCCAUUAACUUUUAAAGGUAGAUUUCCAUAACUUUUAAAGGUAGAUUUCCAUAACUUUAUACUGGUUGCUCUCAUUUGCUUAAUUAUUGCAUAUGCAGACUUCAUCAGCAGUAAGACUCUCAGGCUCCUGCUCAUUCCCCAUGGAGACAUGACAUUAUCUUUUCUGCCUUUACUUAUCACUCAUUCACCAAGGAGCUGUUCCCUCUGCAUCUAGGUCAUCACACUGCCAGGCUGGUUAUGACUCAGAUGGUGUUAUCUGAAAAAGGUCUACAGAAAAAAAAAGGUUUCCCCUCCCUCAUCAACAAAAGCCCACCCUCUAAAAGACAUUCAGGCUGAACUACCACAAUUCUUACAUUAUAAAUUGCAAAUACAAAGUAUACAAUAUACAAAAAAUAAGCAUACCUUACAUCUUGUUUAGUCACAAGGAAACUCAUUUCUCCUACACUAGGAAAGACUUGCUUAUACAAAACUGAGAUGGAAUCUCUUACUUGAUAAUAUAAAAGCUAUCACCAGAAGAAAUCCCUUCAGGGUCAUUAAAGCCACUUCCUUUGCUCUGAAGUUCCUAUAGUAGUUAUUAAGAUACAUUAAGUCACCUGAAAAAAAAUUUCAAAAGAGAACCACACACUACAAUCUAUAUCCGGUAGCUUCUAGAGAAUCCCCACACUGUAACUUCCACACCACUCUAGUGAUCAGACCAACCCCCAAACCCUACACACUUUCACGGGAACAGACGACUGUUGUGAUUUACUUUCCUUGCCCACAAUAUUGGAUUAGUGGGAACACCCAAGGCAAUCUUCCUUACUGCCCAAAUCAAAAAAAUAAAAAGAAAAGGAAAAAAAAUAGAAGCAAAAAACUGGAUUGGGAGUUACUUGCCAACUUGAAAGCUGAGAUUUCCUCAGUUUUUCCAAAUAUUUAAGUUCUCUGGUAUGAUUAUCUGAAAUCAUAAACUAAACAAUUACCUAACCUCCCCCCCACCCAAAUACAACAGGUCACAGCCAACUAAGUUUUGCCCCUCCCCUUUAAUGAAAUGUUUAAGUCAUGGUGCUUGAAAACUUAACUUUAACAUCUGGCCUACUCAAGCUCCUGAGGUUCUCCUGAGGUGACUGUGAACCAAAGCUGCACUGUGCUGUACUUCAGCGGCCACUGGGGAAACUCUUCCAAGGAUAAAGGGCAGCUCCAGUCCCUGAAGGUGUCGUGCCAACAGCAUAGCAGUACACGCCUUCUCUAACCCAGUGUGCCAACAGAACUAUAGCAUCUGUGGAAAAUCUUAGAAAAAACAUUUUCCCCCACCCACUCCUCCCUGUUAAGACCAUUCCCAAAUAUUUCAAGUAAAAAUAUUCAAAAGAUUAGGAAUUUUACAAGUCUUGUUAAGGGAGGGGGAAAAGAAUAAACUACCAGCCAUUUCGCCAAUGGACAGCUCCUCCAUAUUCAACGUGAAAGCUAUUCAUCUAAUUUCUAGAAACUGUAAACCUGUUGAGUUCUGCUUAUCCUGAUACUGGAUUUUCUUUUUUUCCUGGUUCCCUUGAGUCAUCUGCCUUUAGGAUUCUAGACAGACCUAAGGGGAAAAGAACUCAAAAUAUAUUUUGUCCCACCCCACCCCCCAAGCACUUUGCCCAAUUACCUCCCCUACACAGUAGUAAGACUUGCAGAAGACUGCAGUAGGUUAGCUGUUCACAGAACUAAAACGUCUUACAAAACUGGCGAGACUGUUGGCUCUACCAUUCAUUUUCCCUCAGAUCGGGUUAAGACAACUUGCCAUCUACCAUUCUUCUGGGCCUUGGCAGUCUGCCCUCAAAAGCUUCAGACAAGAUGCAAGAGGACACAACCCUGAAAAAGAAAAACCUCCAACACCCGCAGCGGCCUACAGCCCCAGAUGACUCUCUUCACAGACAGAAGCCUACAAACUCCCCCAUACCAAGGCAAAAUAAACAAGUUACCAUCCUCAAGUUACAGAAACCACCACCGCGUUGCCGACCUCACGGGAUGUUACCGCACCACAUGCUUUCCCUGCAGCCUUUCUUGCACAUUGACAUGCUGGUCUAGGAGCCGCUAUCUAUUCUCUCCACAACGCAAUGCCUGCUCGCCUCCUCCGCGUUGACAAGCCAAGACGCCAGCUAGCUUCAUCACCAACUCGAACUGGCUCCACCUUCCCGGAAUCCUCUUUUCUAGCUUCACCACAUCAUUUCGGCUCCUUCUUCCUAGCUUCCUCCAACGAACCGCACUGUUUCCUGGGCUAUCUUCACCAUGACCUGCUGCUGCUGGCUGCUCAGUCCUUCCUAGCUUCACCAAACUGGCUUCGGGACUCCUGUCUUCCUAGGUUCACUGAAUCCACUUCUGUGUAGACCUUGGUCGGCUGCCAAUGCUAGUCGUUAACACUUUUAAAGCACCUCAGCUCAAGUCCAAUGCAAAAUGCUGACAAUCUUGAAAUUGUUAUCAAAAGUCCUUUUGUUCUCAAAACAAAAUUAAGCUACAAGUUAAGGCUUCUAAUAUUCUUCUAACUUUUCAAACGCAUUCUGCCUUUUUAAUUACUUCAGUUGUAGCUUUGACUGCUAGCUUCACUCUUGUAAAAUGGCUGUCUACAGACACUUCUAAACUGCUGGGCUCCAUCAGAAACUUGAAUUUAUGGCUUUAAAAAUAAUUUCCUUCUGACUUUAUUUCUGAGAUUUAACCUUAUCCAACCUUUUGGUCUUGAUCUUAUCUUCUUUGCCUAUCUUGAAUGCUGGCAUCCAAAGUUGUCUGAACUUCCUUUUGUCUUUCUAUCUUGCUUUUUUUCUAUCUUCUAGUUUUCUUCCUACCUGUGUGUUUAAAUACCUUUUCUGUCUUCUAAUGAUUCUUCGGUCUUCUAUUUUCCUAUCUUCUCUACAGCUUUUCUUCACCUUCCUGAACUUGUCUUCAUUUUUCCACUUCCAUUUUCUAAUCUUCUUUCUCAAAAUACUAACCCUACCACUUCCAUUCCCCGUUUCCAACUCAUGCCUUCGUACAUGCGACAGUCGACUCUUAUAACGGCCCUUCAACUUACUUUUUUCAAUCUUUUUAAACUACAUCUCAUUUUCAAACUAUUAUCUACAACUUUACAAUUUUAAAAAGCCAUUUAGAUUCUGUUUAGGUAACCUUCGUUUAAAAGUACACCUAACAAGGCUGACCCUCAAGCUAGAACCUUUGAAACUCCACAAUUGCUCCCUUUUACAAUCUUCUAAACUACUCUGAAUAAACGCCUCAGGUCAGCCUCCAUCUGGUGGUACAAAAAUUUUUCUCUUUUCCUUUUUCAAAUUGUUUAAAUAAACCUCCAUACUUUUCUUUUAAAAUCUUAAUAUUAAAAUAUUAUUAUCUCAGUAAGCUACUCUAUUAAGUUUAGAGUUCUAGUUUCCUUUUAAAUCUUUUUAAAUAGAAACUUAUCUGCGAAUGCCUCAGGCUGAGUCUCCUGCCUCACCAGGUGCCUGUGCUCGCUGCCUGAAUGCCUGACGCAAGGCUCGGAGCUCCCUUUUUAUUGCGAAGGGACACGUCACUCCACCGGAACCUAGUAACCCUCCACCGCCUCGGUGAAGGAAGAAAAAUAGUUCCUCAGAGAGUUAAAAAUAGAGCCCUACUUCCAAGUUUCUAGAUUUUUCCUGAUGGUGCGUGGGCCUCGGGACCUUGCUAAUACAGAGAAAUAUUAAAGUUGUACCAGCAAGUACAAAUAGUUUAAAAGUUUGAGUCACAAGAUGAAAAACAUGACUAACACAGUUUCCUUUAUUUUGUGACUCCCGGAGCGGCAGCCAUUUUCAUAAACAAAAUGGAGGUUUCUCGAAAAUGACCUGGCCCUGCGAGUUGUUCCUGAGGUGAUAGCACUUUGCUUAGUACUGGCUUAGGCUCGGGAUGCUGAGAACAUCCACCUGUAGGACGAUCUGCAGUCCCCGGCUGCCCACGAGAACUUUAUUCUGAGCCUUGGUUAACGAGUGCUUUGGUGCUUGCAAACGUCAGCCAUUUAGGCUGCCAGGUCCUCGUUCCAAACUAGCAAAGCCCAGCAGACGACCCCUGACCCAAGGCUGUGGUGCCAUGAUCUCAGGCUAGCAAAGCGACGGUCGCUGCUUGUGAGGACACAGUGACCUUGGCGGCCAUGCGGAGCACAACCCCCACAGCCCCACAGUGGCUGGGUUUCGAGAUGUACACUACUUUAGGCUUCCUGUUCUCAUGCCUUUCUACAAUUACGACGUACAGGAAAGGACGUCCCUAGAAAUUAAAGAUUUUUUCUUUCUCCAGAGGACCAUGGCGAAAGGAUCACCAGGCGCAGAGAAGCGGCCCGCGAGGGAGACGGCGGGAAGGAACGCGAAUGCCACAGGGACAAGGGGGGUGGGGGUGGGGGGCGGGGGUGGGGACGCGCAAGGAUACGCAGGUCGUGAGUCGCCGCCUCCCUUUGUGAAGCGCAGAAUCGGGAGCGGGCGGCCGGUCGGGCGCGGCCGGUUCUAACCGGUUCCAGCCGGUCUAGGCAAAGUUGUUGCCGCAGAGCUUCGCUGCGCAGGCGCGCCCCGCCCCGCCCCCAGCGCCUGGAUCUAGGUGCGGGAAUGACUGGUGUGGGGGCAGGGCGGCUGCCGGUGGCUGUGCUGCCGUUUCCUGGUCGUCCCUUAAUGCAACCUACGGGGCCCACUGAGCUGGCUUUUUUUUGGUGUCUAUGUCAUCCAUUAAGUAUUACCAUACAUACUUUGAAUGCUUCUACGUUUACUCUAUAUUCUAGAAUUUUCAAGGGAAGCGAGUCUCGGGUUGAUCCUGUAACCUGGAGGCUAUAACCUCUGUUUUUAGAGAAGCCAGGGGAGUCAUGUGAAACAGCGCUCCGGGGCACACAGAAGUCCAGAGCUAGCAAUCACAAGACUGGCUGGCGGCACCGACUCCCCAGAUCUACGUUCCAGGACCUGCAAAUAGGGAGGCUUUAAGAGGAUAUGGUCAUACAAACUUUUCCUUGCUGUUGGAAUGGUUGUGAAGCACUGGGCCAGUCCCAGGGUUUGGAGAGAGAAACAGGCUGCAGGGUCACUCCAGAAACUCACCCAAAAGACAUGGUUUGCAAAGGCAGGGAGGAAGCUCAUAAUGAUCACACCAUGAGAAGUAACAUUUUUAGAGAACAUUCUGAACUACCUAUUUUUAAUUGCUAGGGCCCAAAUGCCUGCUGUCUUCCCCCUUCUUUUUACUUCACAAACAGGCUUUAGUAGUUUCCAAACCACUCUGAUUCUUGCCUCUGUUUGUUUAGUGGGUCUUUUCUGGAUUUUUCUUUUUCCAAUGUUAAGAAUUGAACCCCAGCCCUCGAGCUUGCAAGGUAAACAGCCCAUCUCUGAGCUGCAUGCCUAACCCUCUUUUCCUGUUUACUUCUUUAUGGAGCAUCUCACUGUGCAGUCCUCGUUGGCUCAAAGGGUACCACAGACACUAAAGGAGAAACAGCCAUUUUAGUCAGCCCCUUAAAGGAGCCCAGGCCAAAACCAGAAGCUCUUCGAGUGCCUGUUCCUGGCAGGCACAUCCCGGACACACAUCCCUGGGACCUUGGGGAUGAACCCAAUGACUUUGGAAUGGUAAUUUCCUAAUGUGCAAGCAGAGAGUUGAGACAGCAGGUGAUGCUGGUUCUGUAAACAAAGGGGUGGAGAAAGAACAUGGAAGAUUUUAGACUUCUUGCCUGUGGCCUGGAGGAGUUGUGACCCUGAAAAUGACUGAAGCAGCAGUAAUUCAGAAUUAAGACAACGGGCCAGAAAUCCUCAGAGAACACUGCAGUCCACCCAGCCCUUGCAGGGUACAAAGGCGUAUCAGGCUUUGGCAAAGGAAUGGCUACUUCUCUUAGUUUAGCGCUGGGAACAGGGACCAGACUGAGCAAGUCCACUGGCACUCAUUCUUCCCAAGCCUGUGCUACUAGGUCCCAUCCCGUGAAUUUUAUCUGUAAGGCUCCGGUAGGCGGGGAAGAGGGGGAAGGGCUGAGCUUGGGAGGAGAUUAUUCAAAGAAAACAGCUUUGUUUCCAGAAGACUGAAUUUGCAGUUCCCAUCCACUCACCCACCUUCCCAGGGCUGAUUUUUUUUUUUUUUAAAGAUCUUUGGAACAAUGUGAACCUCUUAAGUUUGCAGCACAAAUUUGGGCUACUCCCACUGCAGGAAAAAAAAAAAAAACCUACAGAAAUGACGAAGGAAGCAGAGGUUGGUCAUAUGGGAGAAAGCCUUGUUUCCUUUGGGGGCUCUGGACAGCUAACUAAUGUAUCCUGGAGAGAGGGUAAAAGUCAGUCACGGAGGCCCACUUCACACAGAGAACCUGGGCCCAGGAAUGGAAACUGACUGUGUCAUUGCAGAUCCCAAGUUGAGAGGGGAGCAGCAACCUGCCACAGGAGCUGAGGUGGUGCUGCCUAUGUGCUGAGUUUUACAGACUGAAUGGUAUUUCCAUCAUGGAGUCAGUUGUGCUAAGGUCUGGGGCCUUUACACAGAAGAUCUGCCUGUACCCUCUGCAAAGUCAAACUGGUGGUGCUACUUGCCUGGAGGGAAAUGACUGGGGAAGUUGGGCCUGGCUGAAGCUCCUCAGAGAGAGGGAAAGAAUUGGACUGAUUCCCAUCCCUGCCCUUAGUGUUUGAUCCAGCUCCUCUGCCUUUCAUUUCCUCUCAAAAGACAGUUCGGGGUACUGCUCUGCCUGAGACUUGGCCAGUAUGGUGAAACCACCAGCACGACUGAGGGUGGGGAACAGUGAGACUGGGGUGGGGAAUGGUGGGACAGUGCCUGAAGCUCUUUAUCCUCCUGCUGUGUCACACAGUGAAAUGCCAGCCCUGAACAAUGUAACACUAUAUCAAGUUUAGGGUUCAUGUAAAAACUGUACCCUAAAAGGACCUAGGUCAAAAAGAAAGGUUCUUUAGGUUUUUGAAUAAAACUGCUGUCUUAGGGUUGCUACUGCUGUGAUGAAACAUGGUGACCAAAAGCAACUUGGGGAGGAAAGGGUUCCCCGUCCUAAGUCAGAGCCCAUCAGGGAAGCCAAGGCUUCAAACAGGUCAGGAACCUGGAGGGAGGAGCGGCUGUGGCGGCUGUGGAGGGUGCUGUUCACUGCUGGCUUGCCCAUAAGGCUUGCUCAUUACAGAACCAAGGACCAGCAGCAGCAGGGCCAGCACCACCCACAGAGGUGCUGGGCCCUCCCACAUCCAUCUCUAACUGAGAAAAUGUCCUACUGGCUUGCCUAUGUAUAGUCAGAUCUUUUGGAGCCAUUUUCUCAACUGAGGCUCCUUCCUCUCAGACGACUCUAGCGUGUGUCAAGUUGACAGACUAGCCAGGAGACCCGCCUUCUCUAGUCCAGAUCCUCCUGCUUCAGCCUCUAGAUGCUGAGAUCACCCGUGUUCAUGCCUCAGCUGGAUAGGAAACUGCAAGGCCUGUCUCGUUCGCCCUGAAGUCAGGCACAGGAGUUCUCCUAGGCUCUCUACUCUCUGGCUUUGUUUCCAAAUAUAGCAAACAUGAAUGUAUCCUCAGGAGUGUGGAGAAUGGUGGUCAGGAGGGAGGGGCCAGCUGUGCUAGCAUGGGAGGCUGAAUUGGGAAUCCCUGGAAUCUAAGCAGUGGGUAUUGGUCCUACGUGUCACUAACCUGAGGGUGCUGAGGCAGGCAAGUCCCAGAGCUCGUUAGCCAGCAUCGUAGACAAUUAACUGGUUAGCUCCUAUUUGGACACAGAGAGCCUGUCUGUCUCUAGAGUACUGUGGAUUACAGUAGCAGAAGUGAGCCUCAGGCUCUGGUCUCGUGGUGCACAGGUUUUUUUUUUUGUUUUUUUUUUUUUUUGUUCUUUUUUUUUUUUUUUUUUUUUUUUUCUUUUUCGGAGCUGGGGACCGAACCCAGGGCCUUGCGCUUCCUAGGCAAGCGCUCUACCACUGAGCUAAAUCUCCAACCCGUGGUGCACAGGUCUUAAAGGCAUCUCAAGGAUUCCAAAUGCUGUAUCCAUUAAACACCAGCAGCCUGGAGGGAAAGGCCAGAGAGAUAGAGACCUGACAACCAAGAAGUCAAGGAAUCAGACAGAAACCACGGCUAAAACACCAGGUGUUGAAGGUCACUGUGAACUCAGGAAAUUGGUGAUCUACUGGGGCUUUCGAGGGAGAGAAGGACUGUGUAGAUUUUGGCCUGGUUCAGCUCUAAUGCCACUGUGAGAAAACUGUGACCAUGGUUUGUCCCCACACUCUGAACUGGAAGAAGUGUAAGCUAUCAUGUGGCUCACAGUGGCCUCCUGUUUUUCUGAGGGGACACAGAGGAUCUGGCAGAACCUGGGCAACUGCCAGCCUCUCUCCUAGGAAUUGCUAAGUCCUUUGGGGCACAGGAAAGAGAGGCCUGGAGCCAGAGCAGGAAGGAAGCAGGGUACUGCGGGGACUCGAACCCCGGCCCACACGGGCGUGCCAUCACCAGUGCCUUUUGCUUUUUCCUGCUCACAUUCUCACAGACAAAGGUGAAAAGCAAAACCUGACCGAGGCUCGUGGCUGCGGUCAGGAAAAGAAACACCUGCGGCGGCUCCGUUACCCCCCCCCCCAGGCUCACCCCUGCCUGUCCUGACACCCUGUCAGAGGCUCCGGGGCACCUAUGUCCCCCUGCCUCCAAGUGCGUGUUCCUCAGCCUAUGAGAAGUGCAUGAAAUCAGACCCAAAAACUGAACCACAAGUCACAGCCUCCUGGCUCUGAGACAGGGUCAGAUGCAGUAAGACCUAUUUGAGUCGACCCUUCCAGGAAGAUCCGAAGCUACCUUAGGCUGCCUCUGUGUGGCGGGGCCAGGUAGGAGAGGGGAGAGGGAUGCUACUCUCAUUUUAUACUUUUCCCUCAGCUUCCAACUUCAUGCCAAUAACUCACAGUUAAAGAGGUCUCAGAACUAAGGGAGCUUUCAAGCUAGCUUAAGUGCAGCCGUUCUUGAGGUCUGCUGGAUGUCACCACCUAAGUCACACAGAUGGGCCCACCUGCCUUCCAUUCUCUGAGCUUGUGGUCACAGCAGGAGUCCUUCCAGGGUACUGCCUUGGUUUGGAAAUGAAGUCCGUCCGGAAGCCGUGUCCCCACCAGCUCUCGUUUUGAGCUCUAGCAUGCAGUCCAUGUCUCAGGGAGGAGUCACGAAGGUCCCAGAGUCACCAGGUGUGCAGAGAACCCUAUAAACCCUGCAGCCCUCUGAGUCAUGGCGAGGACUGUGGCUCCCCUCUGUGAGUCUAAAGCAGCUCAGGAACCCAUGUCCUCCACAAGGUUCAGGGGGAAUCUGAGGGCUGUAACCUGCCCAGGGAGCCUGAGUCAGGCUGAGAAGAGUCCUCAACUCAUACCCAGAAAUCUGAGCAGUCUGCUCCACUUUAUCCCCACACCCACACCACAGGCUCACGCACACACAUGCGUACACACAGUAACUCAUAUGAACACAUAUACAAACACAGUAGGCUCACAGACACACAUAUACACACAGCAGAUUCACUUACACACUUAUAAAUAUAUAGUAGGUUCAUAUGUACACAUUUACACAUGGUAGACUCACAUGUACAAGCAUACUAGGCUAAAGUGCACACUUAUAAACACAUAAUAGGCCCACACACACACACCUUUACAAACACAAAGUAGGCUCACAUGCACAACUUAUAAACACAUAGUAGGCUCAUAUGCACAUACAAACAUAUACCACCCAUAGACUCAUAUACACAUAUACAAACACACAGUAGGCUCAUAUGUACACACGAACAUACAUCACAGGCUCAUAUGUACAUAUACACAGGAGGAGAGCACGCGCAUAUGCAUGUGCACACACACACACACACACACACACACACACACCCUGAGGUUUGCAGACUGACAGGUAGGCCGGUUCCUGCAGACCCCACCAUCUCCAUCCCCACUCCGCCCAACCCCAGCGCUCUGGCUGGUACCCCUUUCUCUCCCCGCCUCCUUUCAGCUCCCCAUUGGGUGAAGCGCACUUACUGAAGCAGCAGCAGAGGGAAUAGGUACGGUCAUCUAAGUCCCAACCUGAAACGAACUCAUAGCUUGGCCCUUACAAGCCUGGAAAUGGGGGAGUCAGAACACAUCCUGUAAGAUGAGCAAAGCAUUAAUUCAACAUGGUGGUGACCAGACCCUCAGGUGUGACUGCAGCACCCCAGUUGUUGAGCCACAUAAGGAACAAGACCCCUUAGGCAAGGUGUGAAACGGCAUCCAGGAAUGUACUCAACCCAAAGGGUGUCACAUCAUCUCAGUAUGAGUAACCAGGCCUCACCAUAUCACAUGGAGAACCCCAACCAACCAACACCACAACUGGGAAAAAGAGACUUCAGCUCACUGCAGUCAAGACUGUGUGUGUGAGAGACGUGUGUGUGUGUGUGUGUGUGUGUGUGAGAGAGGUGUGUGUGUGAGACAUGUGUGUGUGAGAGACAUGUGUGUGUGAGAGAGACGUGUGUGUGUGAGUGAGGUGUGUGUGUGUGAGAGGUGUGUGUGUGUGAGAGGUGUGUGUGUGAGACAUGUGUGUGAGAGACAUGUGUGUGUCAUGUGUGUGUGAGAGACGUGUGUGUGUGAGAGAGACGUGUGUGUCGUGUGUGUGAGAGGUGUAUGUGUUGAGUGAGGUGUGUGUGUGAGAGAGACGUGAGUGUGUGUGAGACAUGUGUGUAUGUGUGAGAGAGACGUGUGUCAUGUGUGUGAGAGGUGUAUGUGUUGAGUGAGGUGUGUGUGUGUGUGUGUGUGUGUGUGUGUGUGUGUGAUGUGCACGUAGGCUGUAGUGGACAGGACAGCAACUCAGUCACAGAUGCAGUGGUGACAGAAAAAUACCGUUCAAAUCUUUCAUUGCUCAAGGAUACAACCAUGGAUUUAUUUAUUCCCAGAAAAUUGAAGGGUUUAUCCAAUGUGACAAACGCCUCUCGCCUGCCAUGAAACAUCUGUAGCCUUUAGUGGCUGUGGCUGUGUAUGACAGCUAUGCCUGUGCUAUGAGCCCAGCACUUCAGAGGCCAGCACAUGAAGAUCAUGAGUUCAAAGCUGACCUCGGCUACAAAAACUAAACACCCUCUCCUACUCCCCCAAAUAAAACCCAAACCAAAAAACCACAGCCAACAACUAAAAUCAGUAGAGGCAGGUGCCUGGGAAUCAGGGGCAGGCAGAGCUCUAGUUUGAGGCCAACCUCAUCUACAGCGUGAGUUCCAGGACAGUCAAGAGCUGCACACAGGGAGACCCUGUCUUGAAAAAUAAAAGAGGGGUGGCACAUUCUCCGUAUGUUCUGCAGUGCAGAUUCUUUUCCGACUCCCUCAGAUCACUAGGAAUCACAACACAUGUGGACUAUGGGAGUGGAGAAAUAAAAAUGGCCAAAGCACCUGGAAUCUAGAGGGCUAAGUUUAAAUCACAGCAGAACUAAACUACAAACACAGCAGAGACAGCAAAGCUACUUCUAAAUGUAGGGACCACAGUCAGCCCUGCUCACCUGCUGCCCUCACCAAAGAGGCUGUGGCAGGCCCCAGGCUCCUAGACCACCUGAGCCUCGGGGUGGGUUCUAUUCACUCCUGGCUGCACUACAUUCUUCUGUGGUUACUCUUGGCUUGUGCCAUCACCUUCUGAGGCCUGUUCCUGUGAAAAUCAGGACAGGACCAGUCAGUCACCUUGUAUGUUCACGGGUCUCCUCAGUGCAGGGCGGAGGGAUGCUGGCCAAGGGAUGAUGAAAUUUGAAACCAUGGCCAACAGUUUUCCUUUGCUGGAAACCCCAGUGCUUGCAAAACACUCACUCCUCAGGGGUUUCAAGUGGCCUCCUCAUAAAUGCCUCACCAUCAGCAACUGUGCCUUGCCUGUAGCCAAAGGCCAGAACCAGAGCAAGACUCCACCGACACCUCCUGUUCCUGUUGAUAGGUGUGUGACCUGGGCAAGCAUAAGUAGGUUGAGCGUAAGAACACAAAAUCCAAGGAGUCCUGGGAGAAGAAUGAAGGAAACCCAGGUGGAACUGACUCUCCACAGUAGCAGAGGUCUGGGGACAGAGCAGUGGAGUCAUGUGUACAAAGUUUCAUCCCCAGCACCAGAACAAAACAGAACCCAGAGCGAGCUGCUUGCUUCAUCUAAAGCUUCUUGUUAAAGGUCAAACUGGAUGUCUUCAAAGUCUAUUCAAGAGAAAGAAAAACCAGGAAUUAAACCAGGGGAAAGGCCAUUCUUAAUGAGGAUGUCAAAUUACUUAUUUAUUAAAAAAAAACCAACUUCUACACUAGCAAUUUUCUUGGAAAACAAACUUUAUAGAUAUGACUUACAAUGAGAUAGAAAUAUUGAGUAGUCCAGUAACCCUAGAACAAUGACUUUCACAGAGUGACUGAGCCUCCAGUGAGGAGCGCCAAGCACGCAGGUGUCAUGGGAUACCGUAUGCCGUGUAUUCUGUAGGUCACAAAAGGGUGUGUAGCCCUCCCCUGUCCCACACUGUGCCCUUCAACCUCACACUGUAUUUAUCCUCACUUCAUUGUUGAGAUGCCUUAGAGAAUUUAAGAAACGUAGACUGGAGGAGGAGGAGCACUAACUACUCAUCCAGAGAACCCAGGUUCAAAUCCCAGCACUUAGAUGGCAGUGCCCAACCAUUUAACUCCAGGCUCUGCCAAGGGAUCUGAUGCCCUCUUCUGGCCUCCAUGACUACUGUAUGCAUGUGGUGCACAGAAAUACAUACACAGGCUGGAGAGAUGGCUCAGGGGUUAAGAGCACUGACUGCUCUUCCAGAGGUCCUGAGUUCAAUUCCCAGCAACCACAUGGCAGCUCACAACUGUCUGUAACUCCAAGAUCUGACACCCUCACACUCAGACAUACAUGUAGGCAAAACACCAAUGCACAUGAAAUUAAAAAAAAAAAAAAGAAAUACAUACACACAUACCAAAAAUGAACACAAGGAAAUGUAGGUGGGCCAACAACAGGCACUCUGCAGCCCCAGCUACCUGGCUGGAGAUCGCUUGGGACCAGUUGGAUAACACACUGAGAUUUUGUCCUUUAUAAAACCAGUAAGACUAAAACAGCAAAAUCUUAAGAAACAUCUAGAAAGCUGUGCUCAGACCAGACCUCCCAAUUGCUCUGAUAAUAUCCUGAUUUUAACCUUCCCUGGCAGUGUCCUGAAGUCCAUGUAGGUCCUCAAAGUCUACGUCAGCAAAACAAAACUCAAGGUUUGAUGGGGCACGCUGGUACACCCUUAACUCCAGCACUGCGGAGGCGGCAGGGGAAGGCCAAUGUCUGAGUCUGAGGCCAGCCUGGUCUACAAGUUCCAUCCAGGCCAGUCAGGGCUGAAUAGUAAGAACCUGUCUCAAACAAAGAAACAAACAAACAAACAAACAAAAAAACCUUUAGGCCUGCAAAUGGCUAGGUUUAGCAAUCAUAGAUGAGCUAUUGAUAUUACUAAAAUCAUGAAUGUAAUGCUGAGACUGGUCCUUCUCAGGAGACAGCUCCGUACUUCAGCCUGUGCCCCAGCUCAGCUGAUGCUCUAGAAGACACGUAUUUGAAGUAUUGGAUGCUAACUCAGGGUCACGGCGCAUGUCUGAAUACAGAAGGAAGGAAAGUUGCUCUUUGGAGCAUUGGUUAAGCUCAGGGGUCUGACGUUUGCAGGAAGACAGACCCAUCCGAUAGCCGCAACACUCCCGUUGUCUCAUAAUCAUUCAAGGUGCUCACCUACCUCCCAGAGUGAGCACGGGGUGCCCUGUGAUUGUACAGCUGUGUUAAGGCCCCUGAAGGCCACAGAAACCCUCCAGCAUUCUGAGGAUUAGCAGUGACAGAAUCCGUUCAUGGAUGAUGAGCGGCAGGAAACUGAGUGUCUUUGCUCAAGUCUGAAGAAAGGGGUCUGAAGAAAGGGGUCUGAAGAAAGGAUGAGGGGCACACAGAAAGAGCCCAAGUCUUCCAGGACAUCAAGACAGUGUGAUCCUUCCACAACCUAGCUGCUCAUGACAGCAGAUACAGCAAUAUGGCUGACAGUUGCCGACAUGACAUUUUCCUAAUCACACUGUUCUUUUAAAAAGAAAAAAAGCACAAGAAAGGCUGAAUAAAUGAAUAAAUCUAAUAUCAUGGCUUUUAAAAAUUAAAAUCUUCACAGAACCACCGAGUCAAGCUCACAGGAGACAACGGUGUCACCUGACUGGAACCUGUCACACAGGUGCUGCCUGUCCUUAGCCUAGGGCCUGUGGUGUCUGUGGAAACCUGAAGAAGCUUCUUCUACAGUCGGGUGGCUUUUUAAUUCUUGCAGUAGUGGAGAGAAAGCUAUAGCCUUCAAUCUACUCGUAAAACACAGGUGUGGCUAGUGAUGGACUCAGGACACACCUGCAGCAAAGCCCUGCCUGAGUUUGAUCCCUGGACCAUGUGGUGGAGGAGGAAAUUGUUUCCUACAAGUUGUCCUCUGUAAACACAUAACACAUACAUUAAUCCCUCUGUAUACACACAACACAUACAUUAGUUCCUCUGUAUACACACGACACAUACAUUAAUUAUGCUGGAAGACACCACCUGGGGAUGUGGCUCACUGGCAGAAUGCUUGCCUGGCAUGCAAGAGGUCCUGGGUUCAGCUGGGGGGUGGUACAGGCCUUUAAUCCCAGCACUCGGGAGGCAAGGCAAGAGGAUCUUUGAGUUGGCCUGGUUUACAAAGCAAGUUCUAGAACAGCCAGGCUGUUACACAGAAAAACCCGUUUUGAAAAAAAAAAAAAAGGGAAGAGGUGGCACGAACAACACACACACACACACACACACACACACCCCAGAAAGAACAGUAAGAAAGGAUCAGCAGAGGCAGGGCCUCGAGGAAGAUAUGCUCCUGGCUGACAUCAAAGGGUGCUUGCCAUCCUCAGUCCAAAUCACUGUGCUGCCUCUUCACAUCUGCUACAAAGGCCAGAGAGUAGGACGAUAGCCAGGGCUGGUGAGAGUGCAGAGCUGGGACCUUGGAAACUCGUCACGGGAGCAGCAGCGGACACAACGGCAGCUCCUCAGAUUCAGUUAAACUACUGUACCAUCUGGAACUAGUAGCUCUUCUCGAGGUACAUAAACUAUAAAGUCAAAUAAAGACGAACACACACGUUCAUAGCAGCAUUGUUUAGAUCAGGCAAUAAGCAGAAACACCUCAAACCUCCAAGGGAACGGAGAAACGAAACGUGUUAAAGCACGGAAGACUACUCAGCCACAUUGAGGGAUAAAAUCAUGGCAUUCACUGCAAUACAGAUGAACCUUGAAGACACUGAACCACAUGAGGUAAGGCAGACACAGAGAGUCAGGCGUUGUAUUACACUUACGUGAGGUACCAAGUACAGGCAGGGCCACAGGGUAGCACGCACAAAUGCUAUAGGGAUGGGAAGGAAGGACAGACAGAAGGCUGUGAGGACAGAGCCACCACCUGUAGUAAUGAAUGAAUCAACAGCUCACAAUAUCACAUACACAACCACAGAACGGCUACCUCAAAGUCACAGAUUCUGAGACAUGUUAUAAGUCAAUUUCCCUAAAAAACAACAUUUAAAAAGAAAACUUCUUACCAAAAAUAAAACAGGAACAUUGAAAUACAUAGCUAUUUAAACGUAAAAACCCUAUAAGCAAGAAAGAACAACAGAACAAACACACCUAUAAGCAGAUCACUCCAAUUCAUCCUGUGGGCCAAACAGAACAAGGACCUCUCAAAGCACCCUGAAGUUGGGCUGGCACACAGCCCCCAGGGCCAGUGCAAUCCUGCUUCAUCUGUUGAUGGAUCCCACCAUGGGCUGUGUGGAACAUGGCUGUAAGGUUCAUGUUUUCUCAGUGAUUUAAGUAUGCAUGGGAUAUUGAUGGGCCCCAUGCGGACAUAACUACCAGAGAUAACUCUUCCUGACUGGAAAACCCAUGAGGACAGUUAUUUCUCUAGGCCUAAUUCAAGUCCAAAGAUACUGACUAACCCUUCUUAUACAAGAGAAAAGUCAACAAGAGACAGCCCAGGGGGAGAGCUGGUGUCCUGACACAGUGUUUUUUUUAGCCAGUAUGCUGUUUGUCUCCCCGAUGGCCCUUGUGGUGAAGCCAGUGUCUACAGUUAAGGCGGAGUACGGUGGACAUGUCUUCUCAAGAGUUAUCAUCACUUUGACAGAAAACCACCACCAGCCACAUGCCAAAACACGUCAUUUCAAGGAACAAAUUUCAUGAAUGCAAAGCCUACAUGAAGAGGCCUUGGUUCUGCUCUACUAAAAAUGUCUAUUUGCCAAGAGAUCUGGAUAGCAAUGGGGUGUUGGCUGGCCUUCAUUUGCUGAAACCGGAAUGCUGAUAAAGAAAACACCCAGGUCCCCAUCCUGACCCUGCUCCUUGACACCAGGAACCCUGAACGCACACAUGAGCUGAGUCAUCAGCUGCCUGUGACCUCAACAAGCUGUGUGACCACAGGUCACUGAACCGCCAGCAGUCACCCCAUUGUCUGAGUAGCAGGAAUUAUCUUCGAGAUGCACAUACGUGAGAGAGGUAUCCAUAUCAUGAUGUAAUCAAACAGUUUGAAGUUACAAAGGCACUGGCGGAGCCUAGGGGAAGGCAGAUCCAGCCGACUGGGCAAAGCAAUUAUCCAGCUAAUCACUGAUGGUGCUAAGGAAAACAGCCAUUUUGAAAUAACCAAAUAAGAGUCUUACCUCACGCCAUACACCAAAGCAACUUCUGGAAGCUGAAAGGGUUGAUUGUCAAAAUGGAUCCAAAAGAAUGUGUGAUGUACGUGACACGCUGACAACUGCAAACCUUAAAUCCAUGCUGUGGACCUGAUGGACAGGAUUGUCCACAGAGCACUGGGAUAAAAAUGAAGGAGGCUGACAUGGAGAGGACAGAAGCGAAUGCUCCAGAUGUUACAGUUGGUGAGUCCUAGCUCUCGAGGUCUCUCUCUCUCAAAACCAGGAAAGAGCAAAAUCAACGACAGAAGUGCCAGACUGAGGGAGCUAUUCACUGGUCAUUCGCUGGGUGGAAAUGGCUGAAACUCAUCCAUGGGGAGCACACCUGAGAACUAGAGUUUAAGGUUUUCCUAAUGGUUCCUAAACUCUGGGCCAGGAGUUUCUCUUCUGAGAAAGAACUUCUCCCUGUCUUUCCCCAGCAGGAAGCCAGAACACAUCCCAUGCAGGAACAGAGGAGCAGAGGCUCUGACCAAAGGAGUGGCCAAUGUGGGAACUCAAGACAACACAUAGCUCAGCCCUCUUGCUUUCAGGCACACAAUGGGCUUGGGGAGAAAGGGUGGGUUACCCCAGGGAGACCAACAGUCCCUCCUCAACUUGAGCAGCUCAGGAAUAAACCUCCAUGUCCCCCAUUGAACAAGGUGUUCACAGCAUCAGGCUCAAAACACCAAAGAGCUGGCACUUUGUGCCUUGAGAAGCUCGACCAGCAUGCUGUCUGUUUUGUCCUGUGUCACUCAGUAAAAGUGUAAUCACAUCAGGCUUCCUGACCCCACUCAUCACACAAACUUAAGUCCAGAGAGUCAAAGCAGUGAUCACAUCAGGCUUCCUGACCCCACUCAUCACACAAACUUAAGUCCAGAGAGUCAAAGCAGUGGGGCACAGCAAGGGGCUCACAAAACAGUUUUGAAUUAGACCAAGUUUUCUGAGCUCGUCAUAAAAUGCAGAAAGCAAUGAAACAAUACCAAUAAACAAGUACAUGUGUAUAUUUAAAAUACUACAACAGCAAACUAUCAUAAACUAUAAAAGUCAGAGAAAACCAGAAGUGUUUGCAAUACAAAUGGUUGGUUUCCUUAAAAUGUAAAGAGCACUUACAAAUCAGUAACCACACCAAUCAAAACUACAAUUAAGUACCAUUUUGUUCAAAGUUCUAGCAAGCUGGGACCAGGAAAAGGCGGGUUAGGGUGGACCACAGCAGCCAUUUCAGUGCUGGCACUGAAAAUUAAAUUCUAUUUAGACGCACCAGAACCCUAGUGGUCUACACAACCCUCAGGAACAGUGUCUCAGAGAGCAGCCCUUCUCACUGUGCUUUCCCUGACUGUGAUCUUGAGUCACAUUCUAUUGGGGGAGGGUGUUGGUGUUUUUUUGAGACUAUGCAGCCACAGAACUCACUAUGCCGACCAGGCUGCCUUCAAAUUCAGAGAGAUCUACCUGAGUUUGCCCCACAAGCGCAGUAAUUAAGGGAACACCACCACUCCAGGCUCUUGGGUGCAAUUUACUAGAUUUGCAUAAACUCACCAGCAUUUCUACCAGAACAGUGUUAUGGAGCCUGCCAAUGACAAAGGCUACCGAACUGGACAAUGACGAUGUGACAGCCACAAGUAAACACCAAGUAACAUACACAAGUAACAUGCUCUGUGGGCCACUGAGAUAGCUCAGAGACUACAGGGGCCUGCCACCAAGUUUGAUAACCUGAUUCGAUUCCUGCCACCCACACGAUGGAAGGAGAGAACACUGCAAGUUGUCCUUUGGCCUCACAUGUGCCUCAUGGAACUUAUAACAUGCUCGCUCCAUGUGUAACUCUUAAAUAGUAUUCUGUGAUAGUAGCAACUGUUUUGGAAGGGAUAGGGCCUGCAGGGGCAGGUCGUCAGGGUCUAACUGUACAACAGGGUGACACGAAUGAGCACAUACUUUUUUUUUUUUUGCCAGGACAUAGCCCUGUCUGUCCUGGAACUCACUCUGUAGACCAGGCUGGCCAUGAACUCAGAGUUUUGCCUGCCUCCCGAGUACUGGGAUUAAGACAUAUACCACCACACCUGACCCAGUCACACACCUUCUGAUGUUACACAAAGUCAGGGCACUGGGAUGGCUCAGCAGGUAAAGGUGCUGGUUGCCAAGCCUGCCAACCUCAGCUCAAUCCCCAGAGAUGAGUGGUGGAAGGAGAGAACCAAUCCAAAAGCAUUGCCCUCCGACCUUUACCGUGCACUGGCAUACACACACGAGUGCAAGAAAUAUUUCAGUCAGGUUAGGUUAAGCCACUGGUGGAAAAUGGAAUAACAUAGUUUAUUCUUGUAUAAUUAGAAAAUUAAGAUGCCUUAAGGGAAGUUAAAUACUCACACAUGAAUGACCAGGAACGCUCUAGGAGAAUUGAGUUGGGAGGCAGGGCUGCCCUCACCAUAUGUCGAAGCACAAACUGUAGCACUUAGACUUGGAAUUGAUACAGAAGCAGAUCAGCCAAUGCCUGGUGGCUGUAAGUUCAGUUAUGUGUAGCAACAAGAGGCUUUCUAUCCACGUCACUCCUUACAAAGUCCAGACAGAACCAACAGAAAUAAAAGCAAGACUGCAAAAGGAGUGGGACAAAGCAUGGGGCUCAAGGAAUAGUGAAUUAGACCAAGCUAUCUGAGUUCAUCAUAAAAUGCAGGAAAAAAUAACAAUAAACAGGUACAUUUGUAUAUAGUAAAGUCUCAAUUGCAAAGUGUCAUUAAACUAUAAAAAUCAAAGAGGAACAUAAGUAUUUGCAACACAAAUGGUUAGUUUCCUUAAAAUGUAAAGAGCACUUUAAAUCAAUAAACAUACCAAUCAAAGUGAAAAUUACCCUUCACUUCUCACUAAUAACCAAGUUUAGGGACAAGUGCUGGUGAGGGUGUGGGGAAAGGCCAACGGGAAGCCUCUUACAGAAGGCUAGCUGGUGCAUCCUCGGGUGCCUAUGCUCCCCCACGGAUGCUCCCCAUGCCUACCCACAUGAAGACCAUGUAAAUAAGUAUUUAACACUUGGUAAAAGACAGUGUUGCUAGAAGCAGCUCAGUUGUUCCCUGGAGCAAGGGUGAGCAGUUCAAAUGUGGCUACAGCUCUGUGAGCUCAACAGCCCUGAACGCAAGCCAAGGUGAGCUGAGCCUGCAUACUACGGCACGGCACGGCACCGUGCACUCUGGAAAGCAAGAGGUCACCUACGCAUUUGCAGUUUUUUUUGGUUCUUUUUUUUUUUUUUUUUCGGAACUGGGGACUGAACCCAGGGCCUUGCGCUUCCUAGGCAAGCACUCUACCACUGAGCUAAAUCCCCAACCCCUACAUUUGCAGUUUUAACAUAAACAAUUCUCACUUAAACAUAUUCUGUGUGUAUAAGGAGCAAAAGCUGGCGGGAACUCGCCGUGGAGUCACACAGUCAGCAGAGGGAAUGGUACACUGUCACUAGAGUGAAGGGAGGAGCCCAACAUAACCUGUUGGUGAGGAAGAGGCUGCCAGGAAGAAGCUGGGCCCAUCAUCCAAUGUCCAACUCUCAGGGGCCGGAGGCAAGGACGAGACAGAAGGAGCUCACACCUGUUCUCUGGGCACUUGGUGGCCUUAGAGGACAGAGUACCCUUAAUCCAGAAAGCCAUGUGGGUGUAUUAAAGGGAACAAGCAAGACUGAAUGUGGCUUUCACAAGUGUCACAGCCCCCUUCAUUAAGGUUUUCUGCAGCCCAGGCUGCACAGCAGAGGCUGGCCUCAAAUAACCGAUCCUCCUGCUUCUACCAUCCCAGUGUGGCAUGACAGGUAACCACACCUGGUUUGACUUCUGUUUUUAACCUUCUUGAGGUAAGAACCAGAAAGCUGCCUGAGAGUCAAAAUCCAUCAUCAUUCUAGAAGCACCUGCUAAGUUCUGGUAGGGACAUGCAGUGCAGGCCCUCGCCAGCCCCAACAGAACCUCAUGACUGGUGGGAGACCAGAAGUAGUUGAUUUUGGUUGUAGAAACACUAGCCACUGAACAAAACAGAGCCCGAGAGUCAGUCUCAAGAGUGGAGAGUCAGAGCGUUCGUGAAAGCCUGGAGCUACAGCUGGGAGCCCUCAGCCUCCUUCAGGCCUGGCUUCAUUAGUGUUCCAAGGAGUAAAAACUCAGUGAGCACCACUUGCCAUGAUCAGAAAGCAGUUGUAAAAAUACUCCACAGUACGAGUCCAUUUAAAAACAGAUUAGUACCAUUAGAUAACUUCCUGAGGGAAGAUGUCCUAGGGACAGAAGUACUGGCACCAGACACUGGAGAGAGACAUUAGGAAGAUAAUGUGCUGGGGUGGUUAAGCAUUUUACUCCCAAGUUCGUGACUUAUAAAAGUUACAAUUACAUACAGCCCUGUCCAUUAUACCAGCACCUACAGACAUAUCUGCCCAGACUUACCUAAAUCUGCAGUUUUGGACUCCUUGGAAGAGCUACUCUCAUGCAAUAAGCAGAGGAUAAGUCAGCACAGAGUAACUUUUCUACCUUUGCAAAAUCACAUCCUUGUGUACCUUAGACCUUAGGGUUUCUAUCCUAAUUAAGCCAUGGUUAUCAAAUUUAUACACACAGAUGCCAAGAAUCGAACAUACCAGGUAGUCUCCAUGGGCUACUGUGGACGUGACAGAGCCAAGAAAGAACUGGCAGAAAUGUGCAGUUCCAUAUGCGAUUGCCUAAGACGUAAGACAAACCAACAUGGACUCUCACAUUCACGUACGUACGCAGGCCUGCCUGUCAUCGCAACAGAACACAGGCAACAGACCCACAGCCGCUAGCCACUCAGACGCUGGGGCACAAGGGACUGCCUGAGAACAUGAUCUCACGGUGCUGCUGUCAAUCCUGACACCUCUCAUCACCGGUAGGAAAGCUGCAUAGUUAGCAGCUGUGCGCUCACGGAGCCCCCACCACUAAGCAGAAUCACGUCAUCCUGAGACGUUCUACAGAAGAAAGGGGUGCAACCUCUCCCCCAUAGACAUAUGACUAGGAGACCAGCAGGACACAGCCUAUCGGUGAUGACCACGGCUACCUCUGGAUUGUGAGUGCUUAGUCUGGGUUCUGAGUUACUUCUCUAUUGGCGCUAUAGAAGAGGCAUGGGGUGUCAAGCAGUUCUGUACACAGCAGCAGAUAAAUUCAUUUAAAACAGAGGUUCCAGAAAAUCACAAGCAGUUUAAUUCUUCUACAAAGUUACAAACAACAAAGUAUCUGCUUUAUAGAGUUCAUUGGGGUAAGGAUAGUUCAGCAUGACGUUGGCCUGGUGAGGUGUGAAAGGCACGGAGGGAGCAAGCUACUUUUGCUACUGCCCUGGUUUUCAUAUUGAUAGAAGAGUCAGACGUUGACAAAUAAUUAAAGUAAUGGAAGUGCUACACUAUGAACCAGACACUAAGGCGAGUCAGGUCUGUGCAUUCAAGAGCCAACCAGGCCAGGACACUCCUUCACAGGACCUUCCUACCAGACACUAAUGUGACAGCUGUUAAGAUCAGUUAUUUGUGAAGACAAAAACUAGAGCCCGAAAUGUCCACACCUUUGGACACAUAGUUAUGACAGACCUGCAGGCACGGGGGGGAGUGGAGCAGUCGCUCACCUUCAUUCCUAGCAGCGGGAAUUCGCUUGCAUGAGAAUAGCUAUGUCUACUGAGCGAGCCCAGGCAUGAACAGUUGAAGAAAAUGAGAAGCAACUCCAAGUAACUUUUUCUUUUUUUUUUUUUUUUUGGUUCUUCCCCCCCCCCCCCCCCCCGAGCUGGGGACCUCCGAACCCAGGGCCUUGCGCUUCCUAGGUAAGCGCUCUACCACUGAGCUAAAUCCCCAACCCCCUUUUUCUUUUUCUUUUUUCUUUUUUUCGGAGCUGGGGACCGAACCCAGGAACCCAGGGCUGCAAGCGCUCUACCGCUGAGCUAAAUCCCCAACCCCAACUCCAAGUAACUUAUCAGAUAUGGUCAGAUUUAGAUGGUUUAAAUCCUUGUACAUCAUGACAAUUGAGAAAAUAAGGAUAUAUAUAUAUCUGAUAGAACUGGUCCGAGCUAACCCCUCCCAAAUACAAACACUUCAGGGUCCCAGUGGCCGAAGAUGGAAAAUACACACUGUGGGUUAAGCUGUAAGACUCACGACCAGCCAACAGUUAGAAAUGUAGAUUAAGACAUGGCACUUUUAAGGUGUGAGGAUGUAACUCAGUGAUGGAGUACUUGCCUACUGUUUUUAAAACAAAAUAAUAACAAAAACCAAAGGAACAAUACAGACUUUAUGAUGUUGGAUCUGGCAACGAUUCCUUAGGUAAGACACCAAAAGUGCAGGCAGCAAAAAGCAAACACAUUAACAAUGCCACAGGUUAAAACCUGAGCUGAGAAGAUGGCUUAGUGGGUAAAGCGCUUGCUCUCAAACCUGAAGGACAAUUGGAUCCAAUGCCGCAGAUCCGCAGAGUGGAAGGAAAGACAGACAGCCACAAGCUGUCCUCUGACUUAGGAGUGCUAUGAGUGGAAUCAUGCUCAAACAUACACAAAAAUAAUACAUGUAACUAUAAAAAAUCCAGCAGACACCUUUAUGGAGUGGGAGAAAAUAUCAGCCAAAUCACAUCUGAUCACAGCAUUAGAACCCAGAAUACAGCCAAAUCUUGCAGGUCAACAACGGUAACAAAUCCAUAGCCUUUUCAACAGGAAAAGGACUCGAAUGGACAUUCCCCCAAGAAGUCUACAUGGUCUAUAAUAUGGAGUGGGAGGACACAGUGAAUGUCACCCUACGUCCAUCAGGAUGGCUGUGCUGGAUCCUACAUAACUGAAGAUUGGGUCUCAGAAAGAUGCCUGCAUCUAUCCACCCACCUGUGCGUCCAUCGCACAGCACGCAAGUCACGAGCAACAGGUCCACGGCAGAGACAAUGCCAGCACGCUCAUCAGCACGCAGAUGCCGAAAGACACAAAAUACCAGUUACUCAGCUUGUGUGAAAGCAAGGAAAAUCACACAUCCAGGAUCAAAAUCACCAGUGAACAAGACCAACCCUGGACUGUGGAUAAAGUGGCCGGCGGCACAACCGUGACCUUUUGAGGUUGAUCCCUGGGAUCUACAGGGUGAGAGGAGAGAAUCGACUCCUGGAUUGUUCUGACAGUGAAAAUAAAAGAGAAACCCUAUGAUUCUAUAAACAAGCAGUCACUCACGGAAACGUGAAGCGGGAAGGGACUGGGUGGGGAGCCCACCUUUUAACUUUUAACUUUUAACUUGCCUAGUGGGUAGUUUCAGGUUUUGCAAAGUCUGGAGGCCAGUUGCCCAGCUCAAAUCUGCUAAACAGCACUAAACUGUACUUACAAAUGUCUAAAGUUUCUGCUGAGUGUGUAUCACAAAAACGUUACAGUAGCAAUCAGCCAAUCAAUUGAAAUAAUCUGUUAAGGACACCACGUAAGCAAAUGGCACACAUACAGGGAAGUCUGAACCAUAAAAUUGCCCAUGUGCACUGGUCAAUCACACCACUCUAGAGGUCUACGCACACAACAGCUUCACAGAGAGGUCUAGAGAACACUUACCUCAGAAAAAUCUCUUCUGGACAGCAACUGAGCAAUACGAACCUAAGGAAGACUUGACUCCGUUCCUUCUACAAACUGAUUUAUUUCGAUAUCUCCAAGGAGUAACAGAGGUGAUGAAGCUUGAGCAACAAGUCAGCCACUAAACCACCAUUUCCCAAAAGGAAACCAACAGCUGAAAGCAGGCUGGUGCACCUGCCCAGCAGCGGACCACGCCUGCUGCUGAGCUGGUGGCCAGAGUCACCCAGCUCCAGAAAGUUACCCUCUCGCCAUCAUGAGUCCGUUAUGUAAAAGGGAUUGUUUAAACAGUCAAGCAAUGGAGCACUAUGGUACCAGUAAAAGGAUGCUCAGGACAUAGUUCUUAUUAUGUAUCAUGGAAAACCAGUUAUAGAACUAAAGCACAAUCCUACCGUUUAUAUAAAGUGUACAUAUAGCGGAUGCCCAGGAACAAAAUGAGAUAUGUAUGCCAGUAACACUUAUUAAUGGAAAAACAUUUCCCCUUUGCUUUUCUGCAAAACUUAAGAUCCUUAUUAACCUGUCAGAAGCACCCACAUUUGCCUCCCCACAAGCAUCUAAGACAUGGACACAACCCUGGUAAAUGCCUUCGCAGCCACUCAAUGCAGACAGAAGUUCUCAUUUGGGGGCUGGGGAUUUAGCUCAGUGGUAGAGCGCUUACUUAGGAAACGCAAGGCCCUGGGUUCGGUCCCCAGCUCCGAAAAAAAGAACCAAAAAAAAAGAAGUUCACAUUUAAGGUCCUUCUGGUGGCUUAACAUCCUAAGACAAACUCAAUGGCAGGUGUCAGGAUUGGAAACAUCAGUUCCCUUUUUGUAGCAGGCCAGCAUCUGAAUUUCUGGUUGUUUCUAAGCUGGGAGGAGUCAAGCAAUGACUGUGGUUAGGAUAUGUUUAUCUUUAAAGACUGUUUGCUGCUCCCUGCUCCCCUGCAGUCAUACAGAAUCGUACAGGAUCAACCCCACACUUCUGAGUUCCAGCUGCCACUGGCAGUUCAGAGAAUGACCCCAACCAAGGCUUCUGGUUGAGGAAUGGUGAUACUAUAGCCAUCCAAUGACCCCAGGACAAAGAGCCUGUGCAGGACAAGUGGCCCAUAUCUGUAUUCCCUGAGGCAGAACUACCAUAAGCUCCAUAGCAACCUGGGCUACAGUGUAAGAAUGUCUCAAAAUAAACAAACCCAAGCCAACAGUCUUACAAGUCACCACACAGGAGAGCUCAGCCUUUGGUUGUUAGUAAGCCAUUUCUUUUUUUUUUUUUUUUUUUGGUUCUUUUUUUUUCGGAGCUGGGGACCGAACCCAGGGCCUUGCGCUUCCCAGGUAAGCGCUCUACCACUGAGCUAAAUCCCCAGCCCCUAGUAAGCCAUUUCUAACACUGCAUAUAUUCCUUAUCGUUCUGUUGAUACAACAUGGAGAACUUUGUAAGGAGAAAAACCAAAAGGUGCUAAGAGAAAAAGAGGUGCAGAAACCAGGUAAGAAGCCAGGAAGAGGCUAAGAUAAACCAGAGACAAGAAAGGUGGGUAGGUAAGCAUGGCGAUGCACACCUCUAAUGCCGGAAACAUUUGGGAAGCAGCUAGUAAAUCCUAGGCCAGUCUGAGCUACAUAAUGAAACAUUCUCAAAAUAUCAAAGUAAGUAAACAGAAAAGUGUGGGUGGAGAGAAGCCCCCUCAUCUGCUGCAACAUUUAACCCUUGCAGUCCCAGAAGCCUAGACAGAAAGCUGCUGGGACACCCCAUUCUGGCUUCUCAGUACAAGUGAGAGGUCACCGAUAAGACAGAUCCAUCAGGAAAAGGAAUACACAUGUAGGAGCUGAGACAGCAGCCAGCCUUGCUGCUCUCAGGAAGAGUAAGGCCACUUCUCAGCCCCGCUUGGUCUCCAGCCCACUCCAGUUCAAGACUCAGAACCAAGAGUUCCAUACAGAGCCACACAGGCCGCCCUCUGCUUUUAGCAAGCAGGCUCCAGUCCUAGCAGAGGCUGGUGGUGUUCUAAGGUCUAAUUUGUCUAAGUGGCAGCGUUUUCUAGCUUUAAUGACACACCACAGCCAAAUUUAGAGCAGGCUGGCUCCCAUGAUGAAUCAGCUACAUACCCAGGAGUCCAAAGGCUUCGACUACACCCUCCCAUGGUAAAAAAAAAAAAAAAAACCCUUCAUCAUAUACCAAAAGACGCCCACUUACCUCCUUAGGCAGAGAGAAUUAAUGUUCAGACUGAAACUGAGCCCACACCAGCUUCCAAGAGUGAAAAUAUGAAAAGCUCAUACCAUGCGAAGACAUUUUCUCUAAACUUCAUGAAAAACCAUACUGUUUGGAAUACAAACUAGGAAUGUUCUAGAUUACGGUUCAGAAUACUCCCUUACCUGCAGUGCCAUUAUCCCAUGUGACUUUGUGUAUAGCCAUUGCAAACCCCUAGUCCCACCCUCCUUAGUUGACAGGCUGUCUAGACCAGUUCUGCCUGGACGGUUACCUGCUCUACUGCUUCAGUGUCAGCACUGGUGGUAGUGAAUCUAGGCCUAACCAUAUGAAGGCAGAGUGACAGAGGCCGAGAAUAUAACAGCCAUGACAAUUCUAAGGAGCUUCAAUCUCAAACCUUUAUUUUGCUGUAAAGGGGAGAAAAAUGAUUAGUGGGGGGUUUGUACACAACACUUUCAUACAAAGAAAUGGGUGCCGCAGGCCUGAUGUCCAGCUUUCUUCACAUUUCCCCAUUCCAAUGUGACCAGCAAGCAUGUUGCUGUUCCAAUGACAGUGACCAUGCCCUGGUCACACCAUUUUUAAGCACUCAUAAAACGAAUACACAAACAGGGUUUUCAGAGCCAAUUUUUAGAGAACAUUAUCUAGUAAGCGGUUCACGCCCAGCCCCCUGCCCUUGCCCAGUUUUCACUUUUAUUUCCCAAAUGUUUUGACUGACAGUUUCCCCUCUGCUCGGGGUUUAAAGCACCAUUCAAGCCCAGCCCACAAUGUAUUCAGCAGUGCAGCCUUAGCCAAGUACAUGAGUGAGGUUUUCUACCAAACAUCACAAUGACCUCAUAGCAAGCGCAAGACCAUGUGCCCUAGUCACAAUGAGUGAUUUGAAAGGUUAAAUAAGCAAUCCCUGUUGACUUCCGGCCAAUUCCAGAAAUUCUAGACAUGUUUUGAAGGCAUGGCUCACACAUUAAAUUCCUGUAUUGUAAUAAGUCAUAGAUCACGCAUUAGAUCACACAUUAAUUUCCUGUGUUGUAUAAGGCAUGACUCCCACAUUAAAUUCGUUCAGAUAGUAGCAGACUGCCCCCCCCGCCCCCAGCUAAGGACCCAAGGCCUUGCGCUGGCUGGGCAAGCGCUCUAAAGAGCAAUAUCCCCCGCCUGCAUUAGAAUUUUUUUUCCCCCCUGGGGCUGGGGAUCGAACCCAGGGCCUUGCGCUCUACCGCUGAGCUAAAUCCCCAACCCCUGCAUUAGAAUUCUUAUUCACACAGUAAGACAGAAUUUGAAUUAGAGACCCAGAAGCCUCUGGCAACCCCAAGUCAAACAAGAGCCCACAGUGUUGGCAUUGACAAGCCUCUCCCCAGUUAUACUUCAUGGAAAUCAGCUCUCCAGCACUGCCCACACCCACAGGCCGGCCUGUGACACGGUGUUGACACCAUCUAUUGAGCAACUAAGAAAAGCUAUUCAAACCCUUCCCCAUAAAGAGUGAAGCAAAACAAUUUUGCUUUUCCCCUUGUAGGAUUUUGGUAUUUUCCAGGCAACUGUCUGUGCAUCUCAACCUUCAGUCACCGCAUGAAGGAUUUUCAUGGGUCUUUAGAUUUUCAUCUGAGUUAUUUAGUUCCCAAGCUAUUAUUCCCACCAACCCACAUUUCCAAGCACAUCCCUUACUGGCACCAACUCCACCAUCAUCAAUCCUCUGGACAAUACACCAUUGCCAAGCUGAGCCCAGCUCUCCCCCACAAGUCCCAGUCCCACAUUUGGUGCCAAAAGUACCACCAAGCUUGACCCAGUAAAACUCAAAUUUCACCUCGGAAGGCCAUGUGCACAGUCAGACCUGUCAUUCAGCAGAGCAGCGCUUGCCCAUCACCCAGUACCAAACCCACGGACCACCGCAGGCCACUGUUCCCUUAAUACAAAGCCAUCCCAAGUUAGAUAUGCCAUCUACAAACUACAGAAUUUGCGGCUAACUCGUGCCUUCCCACAUUUAAAAACACAACCCCCCAACCCAUUUAACAACAGGCUUCAUCUAAGACUCUUCCACACCAGUCAUUUAAAACCCAACAGUUUUCCCCAACACCCAAAAGUUCUGUUAAGAAUUCCUCUGACCAAUGCAGAGGCAGGCGGGCCGCAGACGCAGGGAAGGUGGCGAGGUCACUGGGCUCCUGCUGCAAAACCAUCUACAAGGCAUCAUCAAUCAUGCUGGGCUGAAGUUAAAGUGUCCUACACCUUAAGCCAUCUUCUCCGGGCCAAGUUCGUAGCACAGAACUAGAAAGGCUGGAGGCUUGUUCACAAGACGCUGCAACUGAACGCCUCUACCCCCAGGAACGGGGGUGCCUGAAUCCGGAAAGAGCCAUGCUCCCAGAACAAGACAUUCAUCUGGAACAUUCAUAGCUGACGGCCCCUCCAGCUGGAAGCACCCUCCCACCCCCCUACAAGCUGACUUAAACGAUGGCCUUCGACACACAGGGAUUCCUGAGAAAGGCCUGGACACGCGGCAGCGCAGAGCUUCCUAAGCCUCUGGAAUUCACUGUGCAGACAUCAACUUAGGCAGCUGUCUCCUCCAGGGUGUGCCCUCCUGUACUGCUACGACUCACACUGGCAGGGGGGCUCCAUGUCUCCUGGCGCCAUCUGCUUGCCUUGGUGAACGCUAUAGUAACAAACCACGUCCAUGAAGCAUUUGGGUGACUGGAACCACGGCUGUGAACCCACCCAAGGGUCCACAUUCAAGUCCCUCCCUCUGUGAAUCAAUACCAACCCUCCCCGCCCAGUCAGGGUGUCCUCCGACUUUACCAGUAAUACCAAAAUGCGGAGCCCAAGACUCCCACACGGGCUCUACAUCUUCCCCAGGCUUACCAGAUGACCCAGAGGCAAGGUUUUAAGUGAACCCUUAACCUCAGAGUGAGGGGGAAGAGUAGGGAAGAGUGAGACCACAGAAGAGGAAGCACGGAACCUAGGCAAAGUCCAGAGAGGGCACUGACAUCUGAAAAAUAAAGUCGUGAUCAAUGCGGCCCCAAGACGCGCGCCUUCGAUCUCCUUGGUCCCCGCCUGGCAGCCAAAACUGUCCGUCUCUCAGCUACCCCUGGCACUCAGGAGUGGGUACAGACAGGCCACACCCAAAUUACAUACCACCCUGGGCCACAGCUGUCGGCCUAGCCCAGCGAAGCUAAGUCCACUUUCCAUAAGACCAGGCCUCAUCCCCAGGUGGGUUCACAACCCCUUAUCUGGAAAAAAAGCGAUUUGCUGGUAUUGUCAAGUUCAAAGUCGACCUCCACUGCCACCUAGUCCCUGCCCUCCCUGUCUGUCUUCUUUCAUUUUCAGUGCCUCGAGGGCCCAAGAGUCUACUGCUGCUCUGCCACUCACGCUAGGACAUUGGCCCCAUGUAGGCCUGUGAAACUUGUACCCUCCUGGACGGUACAAGUGCCCCCAUGCCAGCAGACGGCAGGGAUAGCCUGGUCUUGAAGGCUGCUGGCCCUGUGUUGUUUGACAAGGGCGGUUUGAAAGCUGCCUUCCACAUACCCACUGUCCCGAAAUCUAGUCUUCUUUAUAGUUAGCCCCGCUUCUCCUCCUGCCCCCAUCCUAGUAGCUGCCCCUAACUCGGCUAACUCUCUCAUCUGAGCCCUGAACUGGCCACUGCCUCCCCUCCAACUAGACCCAAGCCCCGGCCCUCCUUGUCACUAACUCCUGCAGGUGGAGGCCCCAACUUUGGUUUUAUAGUCUUGUGUCGCGUCACCCGAACAUUGCUAAACGGAACGAUUCCUCCACGGACACUUAAAAAAAAAAGUUCCUCCCCGACCUAGCCAAAGGAGCCCACGAGGGGCGGGUCAUGGCCUCCAUCAACGGCCACUCCCUCAGAUUGCUCAACGAUCCUUUUCUCCUUGGCGGUGUGUCAUGGGAUGAAAAACACAACUGAAAAUGACACUUGGGAGGUCACCACGCCCCGAUGAGGCUCGAAAGUAGGGCCGGCAGAGCGCCUGGAAAAUUCCACCGAGUGGCGGAGGGAUCUCUGCGGUGAUGACCUCCACCCUGCUGAAGGACAAGGGCAGAGCAACUUCCCCAAUGGAGCUGUUUCCUGGAGAUGGCUGUAAACAAGGCUGUGGGUGGGGCUGAAGGUGACUCCAUCUGAGCUUGCCCUGUGUCUGUGGCAAGUCCCUUCCCAGCCAGCUAUGGGAUUCUGGGAUGGAGGGGAAAGAGCAAAAUGGGGUCUCUUUGUAAUAUCCCAUGGUCCUUGGUGGGGGCCCACUCUCCAAUAUCCUUCUCAAGGACGUGGGCAGCCCCCACUGGCCUUGUCAUCCUCUUUGGAAGUCAGCUCAGUCCUGUUGUUUUCAAACACAGGCAGACUCAGGGUUUCCUACAAAAACUCUUGGAAUAGUGAGAAGGGACGGUGCUCCAGGUGGGUCCAAAAGGCAGGGCCAUGCCAGGAUUGCUACCACUAGAGAAUAUGCCUGAACUCCAGCCCCCCUCCUCCACAGAUCCAGUUCCUAGGCUGUAGCGUAUUUUUUUAGGUUCCUUGUGCUUCUCUUGGUGCGAGAGCCUCCUCAGCCUGGGCUCCUUCAGAGUCCUGAGACAAGUGGGUCAGGAAACUGCACAAUCACUGUGUGCUGGCAGGAAACCUUCCCACCCCCAUUCACUGCCCUGAAGAGCUGGAGCAGAAAAAGAAGCCCUGCUCCCAAACUGCCAGGCUCUUCCGGUGGAAGGGGACACUUCUCCCACCCUUCCCCCACUGCCUCACAAAUUUGGAAGCAUACUGUUUUUAUGAAAAACGAUCUCACCCACUGGCUUCCUGUCUCCCUUUAAUCCUCAGCUCCUGUAGGCCAGGGCUGCAAAGUCACCUCUCAAGUGAGUCCCCUUGGCUCUAGCAAUAAGUCAGUCUGUCCCGUCCAGUCCUCCUCCCUACUUGAUCUGUGGGGGCAGGGUUUCUGUCUAGUGUGCCCUAGAUCUCUACCAAGAGGUAGGCUCCUGUGUGUAUGACUUCACUGUUCAUAUUUUCUAAAGGUCACUCUGAAUCC